AUCAUGAUUGUAACGUAACUCACACAUAAAGGCAAAUAAUUUGUACAAAUGAAUGAACAAACACAAAUAUAAUAAUUCACAUAAAUCCCAAAAAAGAAUGAAUAAUCACAUAAGUCAUAUUAAAAAUAAAACAAUAAAAAAUGAAUAAAUGAUAGAAACAUGUUAGUUAAAUGGUAAGGCUAGAUAAUUAAAUGUGAGAAUUAAAGAAAAUGUGGAAAAAUCAAAAUGUUGGAAAACCAAAGCAACAUACCCGGGUAUUGAACCCACCCCACUCAAGACU
rnacentral:lncRNA from 1 species